GAUUAGCUUGUUGGCGGGGUAACGGCCCACCAAGGCAACGAUCAGUAGGGGUUCUGAGAGGAAGGUCCCCCACAUUGGAACUGAGACACGGUCCAAACUCCUACGGGAGGCAGCAGUGAGGAAUAUUGGUCAAUGGGCGAGAGCCUGAACCAGCCAAGUAGCGUGCAGGAAGACGGCCCUAUGGGUUGUAAACUGCUUUUAUAAGGGAAUAAAGUUAGUCUCGUGAGACUUUUUGCAUGUACCUUAUGAAUAAGGACCGGCUAAUUCCGUGCCACCAGCCGCGGUAAUACGGAAGGUCCGGGCGUUAUCCGGAUUUAUUGGGUUUAAAGGGAGCGUAGGCCGGAGAUUAAGCGUGUUGUGAAAUGUAGACGCUCAACGUCUGCUCUGCAGCGCGAACUGGUUUCCUUGAGUACGCACAAAGUGGGCGGAAUUCGUGGUGUAGCGGUGAAAUGCUUAGAUAUCACGAAGAACUCCGAUUGCAAAGGCAGCUCACUGGAGCGCAACUGACGCUGAAGCUCGAAAGUGCGGGUAUCGAACAGGAUUAGAUACCCUGGUAGUCCGCACGGUAAACGAUGGAUGCCCGCUGUUGGUCUGAACAGGUCAGCGGCCAAGCGAAAGCAUUAAGCAUCCCACCUGGGGAGUACGCCGGCAACGGUGAAACUCAAAGGAAUUGACGGGGGCCCGCACAAGCGGAGGAACAUGUGGUUUAAUUCGAUGAUACGCGAGGAACCUUACCCGGGCUUGAAUUGCAGAGGAAGGAUUUGGAGACAAUGACGCCCUUCGGGGUCUCUGUGAAGGUGCUGCAUGGUUGUCGUCAGCUCGUGCCGUGAGGUGUCGGCUUAAGUGCCAUAACGAGCGCAACCCCUCUCCUUAGUUGCCAUCAGGUUAAGCUGGGCACUCUGGGGACACUGCCACCGUAAGGUGUGAGGAAGGUGGGGAUGACGUCAAAUCAGCACGGCCCUUACGUCCGGGGCUACACACGUGUUACAAUGGCAGGUACAGAGAGACGGUUGUACGUAAGUACGAUAAAAUCCUUAAAGCCUGUCUCAGUUCGGACUGGGGUCUGCAACCCGACCCCACGAAGCUGGAUUCGCUAGUAAUCGCGCAUCAGCCAUGGCGCGGUGAAUACGUUCCCGGGCCUUGUACACACCGCCCGUCAAGCCAUGAAAGCCGGGGGCGCCUAAAGUCCGUGACCGUAAGGAGCGGCCUAGGGCGAAACUGGUAAUUGGGGCUAAGUCGAAACAAGGUA
rnacentral:rRNA from 1 species